CAACACAAAGGGGAGCCGAGGCUCCCCUUUAAUAUGUCGUGCAUGCUCUUUUUUUAUUAUUGAAGGGCGGUUUAUUGUUGUUUUUGGAACUCACCCUUUGCUGCGUUUUUUUGCGAUCCCCAUGCGGGAUCAAGAGCAAACGUAUUUUUUUGAGCGCUGAUCCACUUUUAUCACGGGCUAUCAAACCUGUGAUCCAACCUGUGCGGGUGCUACCUGAAGGUAGUU
rnacentral:misc_RNA from 1 species